CAAGCGCCAAUCUAAAUCUGACAUUUGCUUAGAACAUACAUUACCCCUAUACAGGGUUGUUGGUGUGUGAUAGCGGGGUGGGAAUCAGCUACAGUAGGACCAGCUUUCUGCUCUAUGGACACAACUAGAACUAUCUAAUAAAUCAUUCUUUACUUAUAGCUCAUAUACUGCGAUAAACUAGCGAUAAACUGUAACAGACUGGAGGAUUUUUUCAGGUAUAUAACAAAAAUUCAAUUCCCAGACUUGAGAUGACAGCUGUUGUAAGUAUACAUGUCUAACAAUAACCAAACAUUGAUAGGAAAUUAAGCAAUAUAUUCUAAAUGAAGGAAGGUACACCGAGAGCAUUUACAAACGACACAACAAAUAGGACAAUGUGAAUGUCCUAUUUAGAAGCAGAUAUAUCUUCAUUUGCUAAACACAAGAACACAUGGCAGUUUGCACACUUGGGAAUGGGAAAUUUUAUUUAACAACAAAUCAGUUUUUUCCGGUCAUGUAGGAGAGUAGUCAUUUAACACACCAAUGUUUAACAGUGCUUCACUGUGUUUUGAUAAAGUAUUGUAUUAACACGUACUUUGUAGUAAAAUGUUGCUAUUAUACAAUUGCCAUAAAUAAUCAUUUUAAUAAAUGAAGGAAACAUACAAGUAUAGUUAUUA